GGGGCGGGGCGGGGCCCUGGCCGCCCCAGCCGCGCCCGGGGCGGUGCCCGGUGCCCGCGCCUUGUUUACGGGCGCUGCGGCCCCUCUCCUGGCGGGCACCGAGCCUUUCCGGGCGGAGGCGGAGGCCGUGGGCUCUUUCCGGGGCGUCAUCGGCGCCAUCCACCCGUCAGGUCCCGGGAAGUGUAAGUCGGGCGGGGGGUGAAACCGGAGACGCAGGAGGACGUGCGGGCGUCGCGGAGGGCGGUUGCCAUGGCGCCGGGAGGGGGUGGCCGCGGCGACAGCGCCCCCGGGUCCCCGCGCCCGGCCGCCUCUCCUCCGGCCGGCCGCGCGGUGGCUGUGGCCGUGACGUCCGCUCAGCCUCUGCAGGUGUUCAAGGCCCGGAGAUCCUCGGGGUGGAAGUUAAGGUUCUGACUCCUGAAAGGGCAGCAUCCACCUGAACGCUCAGGAGAGCACACACUGGCAUGUAUGACAUCUUGGAUUUGAUCCCCAGCACUGCCAAAAAUACAAUAAAACAACACAUAGAGGCUGUGUAGCACUGAUACUGUCCAUACUGUCUCAAUUGGAACUGAGCUGAGGCGCUUCAGCCCCCGUGGGGCAGUAUCCGUUCAUCUGUCCGAGGGCUCCACAUGUCUGUCCAGUGUUCUAAAGAGCAGUUAUCCAUCCAGAUAAGUAUUGCCCUUUGUGCCUUGUUUUGACGCGUAAAAUGAAAUGUCACUAACUAAAGUCCCGUAAGGAAACACGGGUUAGUGAGGUUCGCUAGGAAGUAAACAAAGCAACAACUUGUGAAACGUAAGCAGAUGCCUCUCACUGCUGUUUCCCGCCCUGCCGCCUCUGCUGAGUGCAGAUUUCAGUUCAGAUAAACACGUUCUAAGAACUGGGGCUGAGGUAAACACCAGCCUUCUUGCUAGUGCUCGCGAGCUCUUUAUUAAAGCUUUCCAUACCAGCCUAGCAUCUUCCUGUUGAAAGAGAAAAAAUAAGAAUCACAUAGUAAAAAUACCUUAAAAUUAUAUUUUACACUGUAAGAACCCCUUUAAGAUAGUAAAAAUAAACAUUAAAAAGCCAUACCCACUGCUAUUAAAAAUGAAAAUAGAAAAUGAGCUAUAUUGAUGUUCUGUUGCUGGAUAUUUUUCUGUUUUUGAGUAAAGGUGUGCCUAAUUUUAAAACUCCUCCCACUAAAACUACAAUACAGUUUCAAACCUCACAAUGUAAAUGUCAGAGAAAAUUAAACCACAGAUCAGCAUCUAUAUCUUUCUCAGUGCAAAAUAUAAAACCCAGCACACAUUACUAAACAUGUGUUCAGGAUUUAUUAAGCCUCAUAUUUUAGGAAUUAUCCAAAAUGUCAGUCUUUCCCAUUAGCUUUCUAUCUAAAUAGGGCACCAUUAAAUAUCCUUGCAUGUUUGACCUCUUUCACGUUUACCUUCGGUUACAGCAUUUUACACAUAAUUUGAAAACAAAACCUUGUAGUACGUAUUAUAACCAUCAUCUGGCGUUUUUCUGGGCUGUCUUACUGCCUAAUUUCAAUUCUCUGUGUUGCUGUGUACAAGCCCAUUUCCUAGUGGCACAUGGUCCAGAGAGUCCUGCUCAUCUUUGAACCCAGGAAGUUCCGCCAAGUCUCAAAUAUUACAUCAGAUUGCAGAUUCGGGAAGAUUCCAGGAAAAGGUGAUAUGAAGACAUCAUAGAAAACAAGCAUUGAGCUCUGUCUUCAUACUGGAGACUACUGUUUUUCAAUGACAUUUACAUUUACACUUAGAAGAAAGAAAAGGGGUCAGGCCAAGUAAGGUAAACUAAGACAACUUUUAAAACGUGUCUGGUUGUGAACGUCAUUAUUUCUGUGGAUUGAUGUUAAACGUUAACCUUGAAACUGAAGGCGGUGAGCCCAAGCAUUUCCAGUCUUCAGCUCAACUCAGGCAGUGAUGCCCCUUGCCUGCGAUCCCUGAAGCACCACCUCCUUAGAGUCACAGCUCUGUCUAUUGAGAGCCUUGCAUCCCAGCCAUUCACUUCCAAAUGUUUCUUGAAUAUAAUUGAAGGAUCUGCUAAGUUGAUAAACAAAGUUUGCUCCUCCUUCCUUUGUAAAUGGUGUUUGCAAUCUCUAGUGCUGUCCUGGGAGGAGAAAACCCUUUCUGAUGUACCCAGGUUUGCUAGCUAGGUCUGCCUUCUGAGUCACAUGACCCAGUGACAAGUCCGCAUAGACCCAGUGGCUGCUUAAUUCUGUCUGUUCAUCAGCAAGCUUCGAUCAUGAGCCCUGACCAGGAACUGGCUUAGUCUUGUGAACAGAGGUCCACAUGAGCUUCUGGGGGGCAGCAUCCACCCCAGUCUCUCUGUCUCCUUCUUCUCUUGUGGGUGAGCCAGUGUGCUCAGGCCAGGACUCCCACAAUCAGUCCAUUUCUAGGAUUGUGCUUACAGCAAACCACACUGUAAGGAUGAGGUCUUUCAUGAAAGAGAAAGAGUAGAGUCCCCAAGCUCAGUGUGCAGCUACCCUGCAGGUGGGGAGCCCAGCAGCCUCUGCAUGUCACCUGUGUUGAGGAGCCCAUGGCAGGUGGUGCUGCCUCUGCCCACGUUUGUGAACAAAGAGGCCAGCUCCAGGUACCACUAACAGGCUGGCUGAUCUAUUUGCUUGUAAGAAAAAUGAGAUGAAAUCCCAGACCCCAGCAAUGCCCUUAGGAAGCACAGGGUCCACUGGGAGGUAGAGAACUAUUUGUACAUAGCCAAAUCGAGAGGCCAGCUCUAAGUAUGGAAAGAAACCCAAUCACACAGGGCAGUGUGGUGUGUAGUAAAUCGGUGUUUCGUUGUGCGGAGGGCCAGGACACAAUGUGGGCUGGCAUCACGGAAAACAGAGGCAGGCACAUUAAAGCUUUACCUGUGUCUUGCACUACACUGCUUGGUGAACCAAAGAAUUAAAUAUUAAAACUUUAAACCAUAACAUUUAGGGGGAAAAAGAAAGAGAUAUUGAUGAAUUUGACUUUCUCAAACAGAAUUCACAAGCGGAAAGCAGUAAAAUCAAAAGUAAAGUAUAAGGGAGUGAUUAAAAGAUAUGGAGAGUGUUUAAAUUGUUUUUUAAAGUGUACUACAGUAAAGACACAUUGCCAAGAACAAUUGGAUGACUGUAAAGUGAGGUGGGUAUUUUUUUGUGUGUGUACUGGGUAUUAAACGCAGGACCUUGUGCUUGUGAGUCAGGCGCAGUGCCACUGAGCUACAUCCCCGGCCCAAGGCAGGUAUUUUGAGGGGAAUGAAUGACAAUGUGUCUUUUACUGUAAUACAUUUUUUAAAAAUUUAAAGUCACCAUGUAUUUUUAAUCACACCUCAGAUAAACUGCAAAGGACAAAGAAAUGGCAAGCAUAUCAUGGAUGAAGUACUACUUAGGUGUUUAUGUAGUAUCCUAAGGGCUCCUAUAAGAUAAUGAAGAGACCAAAAACACAUAACCAAAGAUGGAUGAUCUGAAUACAUAAUUCCCUACAAUGAAAAUAAAUGCAAAAACAAAAGCCUUAACCGUAGGAAAACUUGCUUGCCAUUUCCUGUCAUAAAAUAAAUGCACAUCAGAGCCACAGUGUGGCACAGUAUUCACCUAGCAGACGGGCUGAAACUGACCUCAGGACCCGGGAAGGGCCAAGCGAGGGACUGCAUCUGACCCGGACGGAUGCUCAGGGCCUGGACCCCGGAUGGAACAUCUUAGGGGUGACUUGUGCCCCCGUGACAGGGCGCUGGAAUAUGAGGUGCACAUGGGUUCCCGCCAGUCUCCUCAGAAGAGCAAAGUUUUCGAUUCACACUACCAGAGGUGCGUUCUUAAAGAACCAGGCAUGGAGUGGAUGCCUGGUGCACUCCGUUAUUCUGUGUGUCUGUGUUUUGGCUUCAUUGUUUUGUGUUGUGAUUGAAAAGCCCACAUAAACGGCUUGACGGAAGCCCUUGAGACCUGCUCCCUGGAUGUUCCCAGAGGUCAUGAGGGGUCGGCUCCUCGAACUCUACCCUCUUUCAUGUCCGCGGAGCACAGGAAGGGGUCUCUGGGGCCUCACUAUGCCAGGAGGGAAGGGCUGGUGUCCUAGGGGGAGCAAGGCCCCUUCAGCAGCAGCAGCGAUUCCUGCUGUGUUCUGUGAAGUGCCACCGACAGGUGAGCACUCAAUAAGCAUUUCUAGAUUUAGUUCCAGAGAGGCAUUGAUUUACUUUUUAACCAUUGCUGAAGGGGAGAGAUGAGGAAAGCCAAUCAAAAAAGCUAACACCCCCAGCCCCAGCCAUAAUGGGGACCAAACCUAGGGGCCCUGUACCACUGAGCCAUGUCCCCAGUUAUUAUUACUAUUAUUACUACUACUAUUAUUAUUAUUUUGAGACAGAGUCUCACUAAGUGCCCCCGGCUGGCCUUGAAGUUGGGAUCCUCCUGCUUCAGCCUCCCAUAUAGCUAGAAUUACAGGUAUGCACUGCCACCUCCAGUGAACUGAAGGGUUUGUUUGUUUGCUUGUUUGUUUGUUUUUGAGAUAGGGUCUUCUAUGUAGUUCAGGCUGACCUUGAACUCACUAUGUAGCCCAGGCUGGCUCAAACCUGAACUUGCAGCAAUCCUCCUGCCUCAGUCUCCUGAGUGCUGAGAUUACAGGCGUGCGCCACCAAGGCCAACUGUGAACUGGAGGCUUUUAGAAGAGGGGGGAAAUGUAGUUUUUCAGGGAAGACGAUUAAACUACAGAAUUCUGGUCUAUUUUUAAUGUGCCAUUACAGUAAUGUAGAAUUGGCAUCUUCUAACACCGACUUUUCCAGUGCUGUAAAAACAAAGAGUAUAAACGUGGGAGCCCGAGGGAAAUCUGCACGUGUGAGGUUCAUCGCAGCAGGAGUCAUUGGGAUUCCAGCCGUUCUCCGUCACUCAAGUACAGCAGACCUGCCUGCGCUCAGUGGCUUUUCUCCGUGGUUGUCUAUUGAAUAAGCCGAAAUUCUGAACUUUAUGCAAGUUUGAAUGUAUCAAUUUUUCCUUUUAGGUUCUGUACUUUUCUGAUUGGUUUAAGUUUUUUCUCUUCCAAAUUCCCAAGUAUUUAUUCCUUCAUUUCCUUUCUCUAUUUUUGGCUGAUUUCACCUCCACUAUAUGUUUGCAUAUAAUAGUGGCUAAAAUUCAUUGUUUUCCUUCUAAUUUCUUUUUUCUUUUUGAACCUAAUGUAAUACAUGUAGAUAUUAAUAAAGAAAAUAUGAAAAGCACUCUCUUCCUUUGAUAAAAAAUUUUUAAAUCUCAUAAUAAAAUACUUAGAAUAACUAGUUAAUGCACUGUGUACCAUGAUCUUAUAUGAGAAACUCAAAAUAUGAACAUACACUGGUAUAAAUAAACAGCAAAAUAGAAGAUAGAGAAAUGAGAAGUAGAGAGGAGUUCAAAUGAUUCCCCUCAAUUCUCUAUUCCACAGUUUCAAAAAUAGUUCAGUAUGUAUGGUCAUUUGUCUCAUGUAUACUACUAGUUUCUCUUCGUUGAUUGAAAAGGUUUGUGCUAUUAUCUGUUUCUUUUUUGUAAGGGAGUCCUUUCCGUCUCUGACUUGUACUCUGAGUAACAUUUUGGCCAUUUUUCUUUGGCUCUGCGGCUUUCAUGGACUCUUUCUGACUUUCACCCCAACAGAGCAGCCACAUCUCUGCCUCCAUCCUUUCCUGCUGCCUUCCGUGUGCUUAGGGUCCCCCGGCCCGGUCCGUGCUGCCUGGGCGUGUAUUUCUACAGCGCGGCUCUGCCUGCUGAGCCACUCCCCGCCAGCUCUGCACGAGCGAUGUGGAUUUGCUAACCCUUCCUUCUCUCAUUUUAGAAUUAGCUUUCAGGGUUUAAAUACUUUUAGAAAGCUUGCUCAUCAAUAGGACACUUGGUUCUCAUGCCCACAAAAAUGGCACUCCAUGCUUUUAGGUGAUUUUAAAUUUACUUUGUGUAAAGUUUUAUGAUUUUCCACAGAGGUCUUAAAUAUAUUUUGUUAGAUUUAUUCCUAGCACUGGAAAUAUUUUGUCACUCUUGUAAAACAAUGUCUGUAUAAGAAAUUACAUUUUCUCAUUGUUGCUUAAUAUAGAAU
ensembl:lncRNA